rnacentral:rRNA from 1 species
AGUGAACGCUGGCGGUAGGCCUAACACAUGCAAGUCGAACGGCAGCACAGUAAGAGCUUGCUCUUACGGGUGGCGCGUGGCGGACGGGUGAGGAAUACAUCGGAAUCUACUUUUUCGUGGGGGAUAACGUAGGGAAACUUACGCUAAUACCGCAUACGACCUACGGGUGAAAGCAGGGGAUCUUCGGACCUUGCGCGAUUGAAUGAGCCGAUGUCGGAUUAGCUAGUUGGCGGGGUAAAGGCCCACCAAGGCGACGAUCCGUAGCUGGUCUGAGAGGAUGAUCAGCCACACUGGAACAGAGACACGUUCGAGACUCCGACGGGAGGCAACAGUGGGGAAUAUUGGACAAGGGGCGCAAGCCUGAUCCAGCCAUACCGCGUGGGUGAAGAAGGCCUUCGGGUUGUAAAGCCCUUUUGUUGGGAAAGAAAAGCAGCAGGUUAAUACCCCGCGGUUCUGACGGUACCCAAAGAAUAAGCACCGGCUAACUUCGUG